AGUCGUUACGGGUAGUCAGAAGCCAGAAAGUCUGACACCAGUCUAACCAAGGGGUAUCGGGUUGCCCGGGUUACUGUGUAACGUUGUACUUUCCUAGCUCUAAGAAUAGGUUAGAAAUUAAAAAAAAAAUACAAAUAAUUACAAUAGAUUAUUCUAAAAUUAAUAAAACACCUAAAGUACUAAAAUAAAUGAAAUAAAAAAAAUUAUAAUAUAUUAAAAUUAACAUAAUUCAUAUACGGAACCCAAUAUUAAUUAUUUACACAAAGGUCCUCGUAACUAUUGCGCCUACGCAUCUCUAAACGGGUGAACUGGUUUCGCUGCGCGCGACGGUGGUGCCUCGAGUGCAUUCGGGCCGGAGACGCGGCAGACGACCAAAUUGCAUCAGACGUGACGGCUGUGUCACACGUUUUUUUUACUUGACCUUCAGUAAUUGCGUACCUGUCUAAUUUCUACUUAUUUGUGCUAGACAAAUUAUAAUCGGAAAUCCCGCUGGGGAUUUAUUUCUACGUUGGAAUUUCUACGUUCGAGUUUUUACAUUCUACUUUAAACCCUCGCUACGCAACGUUCUACCUGGCGGCGAGUGAAAGACCAGACCUGAUCCUGUCUGGAACUACCUGGGUCCUGCUGGAGACCUGGAAGUGCAACCUGGGAAGGAGCUGGGCCGUCGUCGGAGCUAUACCACGGUUCAGGCCAGUGUUCCCAGUGUACCUUCUACCUCGAGAUCUAUUCGUGGUUAGGGCAACAGAAGUUGGCUUAAAUAAAGUCUCAAUUUCUACCAAA